GGGGAAUGUGGGGAGCCGUUGGUCAAAGGGCACAAACAUUCCGUCGUGAGAUGAGUCAGUCCUGGGGACGUACCGCACAGCACGCUGACUGCAGUCGACAAUGCUGUGUUGUACACUGAAAGUUGCUGAGAGUCGGUCCUAAAUGUGCUCGGCACAAACAAACAAACAAAGGUAACUAUGUGAGGUGAGCUGUGUGUGAACUAACCUGAUUGCGGCCAUCACUGCACAAUAAAUACAUCAAUCAGCACCCCAGUCACAUUAAAAUUCAAGGUUGUACCCCUUAAUUUUACACAAUUUUAUUUGUCAAUUAUACCUCCAUAAAGCUGGUAAUAAAAGUUAAAAUGAGGUCAUGGGGGUGGGCCCUGAUCCAAUGGGACUGGUGUCUUUAGAAGAAGAGGAGAUUAGGACAUAGACGGGCACAGAGAUGACCUGGGAGAGGAUAGCCGUCUAGACCCGCCAAGGAGAGAGGCCCCAGAGAAACCAAGCCUGCUGGCACCUUGAUCCUGGACUUCCAGCCUCCCGAACCGGGAGGAGUAAACGUCUGCUGGUCAAGCCGCCCGGCGGGUGGUAUUUAUUUGAGAAGCCCUGGCUGACGGAUAUGGGGUACAUUUCAUGUAUAUAAAUUAUACCUCUAUAAAACAAGAUCAAAGGAAAAUUUAGAAACAAGCGAGGCUGGGUGACGAUGGGAUCGUGGGCAGCUCUCGAGGCCCGUGUCCCCGGCGCUCUGCUCCCUCCCUCGUGAGCAGUGAUGGCCACAGCCUAACGUUGCCAGCUGGUGAUUGAGGGCCUCCCCUCCCUUCUCCAGGAGAUUCCAGAAGUUUGAGAAGCUUCUCCAGUAGAGACAGAAGCCCUGUGAUGAGAGUGUCGUUCCUGGUGGAAGGAGGAGGAGACCAAGGCUCAGAGAGGUUGCUAAACAAGCCCAAGGUCACCCAGCGUGGAAGCAGAGUGAGAAUUUGAGCCUGUUUGGGUCUGAUUCCGAAGGCAGUGCUCUUGACACUGGUUCUCAGCGCUGGCUACACACUGGAAUCAGCCGGAGCGCUUUGAAAAUGCUGAUUCUGGGGUGCGGCCUGGGCAUCGCGUUGGGCUUUGUAGAGCUCCCUGGGAGAUCCCCGCCAGGUUGGCAGGA
rnacentral:lncRNA from 1 species